GAUGAACGCUGGCGGCGUGCCUAAUACAUGCAAGUCGAGCGAACGGACGAGAAGCUUGCUUCUCUGAUGUUAGCGGCGGACGGGUGAGUAACACGUGGAUAACCUACCUAUAAGACUGGGAUAACUUCGGGAAACCGGAGCUAAUACCGGAUAAUAUUUUGAACCGCAUGGUUCAAUAGUGAAAGACGGUCUUGCUGUCACUUAUAGAUGGAUCCGCGCUGCAUUAGCUAGUUGGUAAGGUAACGGCUUACCAAGGCAACGAUGCAUAGCCGACCUGAGAGGGUGAUCGGCCGCACUGGAACUGAGACACGGUCCAGACUCCUACGGGAGGCAGCAGUAGGGAAUCUUCCGCAAUGGGCGAAAGCCUGACGGAGCAACGCCGCGUGAGUGAUGAAGGUCUUCGGAUCGUAAAACUCUGUUAUUAGGGAAGAACAAAUGUGUAAGUAACUGUGCACAUCUUGACGGUACCUAAUCAGAAAGCCACGGCUAACUACGUG
rnacentral:rRNA from 1 species